GAAACAGUCCAGCCCGGGCAAAGAAAGGGGUGAAAGCGAAGGAUGUUUGUGAAAAGGUGCUUUGCCUUGGCAGCCGAAACUACGUUGCACGCACAUCUUCGUGGAAAAAGAAUCACUUUCUUCUGCAAGCAUCACAGACCAUCUGGGGUGCUGUGUUGUUUAAUUUCAUCAAGCUGAUGUGGGAGAAUAGACAAGUGCAAGCUCCUGGAAAAAGAACUUGUUGGGGUUUCUUCCAUCCAUCUUGCAUAACCAGCUCCGGAUCAGUUUGCACCGUGCCCCCUUGGAGGAGAGGAAGUGUGUAACUGCUCAAACCUCCAGAAUCUUAUUUCAUGUCUGAAGAUGUGUUUGUCAUUCAGAAAUAAGCUCUUGGAAACCCAAGAUGCCUGAGCUCCCACGGGCUGCACUGCCUACAGCCUCCUAGACCUGGAAGAAAACCCUGAGAACGGCUGAACUUGAUCCUGCACCUUCUCCACCCUGGCUGUGUCCUAGGUCUAGCUAAUCAGACUAUUCCGAACUUCUGACCACAGAAAUGGAUUUCAGACAGCACAUGGAGCACGAGUCAGAUCAGAGCCCUUCCUGAGACUUUUUGGUUGGCACCAACAGUAGACUAUCUCUUUUCCUUAGGUUGCCAAGCUGCUAGGAUGUUUAUUUAAGGCUUCUGGAGACUUUUACUUGCCACAAGAAGAAAGCCCGCCAAGUAUAGGUAGAUGAGAGGUGUGAGAAGGGAAAAAGAGAGGAAGAGGAAGACAGCCACGUGGGGAUAUAAUUUAAGCCUCCCCCAGCUCCAGUGUGGGAAGCUGAACUCUUGGACUUUGCAGUACAUGAACCAAUGAAUGCACUUUCUUGACUUAAGAAAGUUUGAGGGCCUCCCCAGUGGCGCAGCGGUUGAGUGCUGGGUUGCGAAGCUGCCUGCAGCCUUUGCAGCACCGGUUCAAUCCCCGGCCACCGGGCGAGGGUCCCACAUGGCGCGCAGACCUCUCCUGCCGCCCGCUGCUCCCCUCAGCAGUGUACUUCAUCUGUCUGCCUGUUCUGCUCUCUGCUCUGGCUCUGGUGAAUUCUCUCACCCUCCCGACUUCUGA